rnacentral:rRNA from 1 species
ACACGUAGGGGGCGAGCGUUGUCCGGAAUUACUGGGCGUAAAGGGCGUGUAGGCGGCAUUGCAAGUCAGGUGUGAAACCCCUAGGCUUAACCUGGGGCUUGCAUUUGAAACUGUGAUGCUUGAGGGCAGGAGAGGCAAGUGGAAUUCCUAGUGUAGCGGUGAAAUGCGUAGAGAUUAGGAAGAACACCAGUGGCGAAGGCGACUUGCUGGACUGGCCCUGACGCUGAGGCGCGAAAGCGUGGGUAGCGAACAGGAUUAGAUACCCUGGUAGUCCACGCCGUAAACGAUGGGUACUAGGUGUUGGGGGUAUCGAACCCCUCAGUGCCGCAGUAAACGCAUUAAGUACCCCGCCUGGGGAGUACGGUCGCAAGGCUGAA